CCAUUUCUUUUAUCAAGGGACUUUAUCUUUGCAAGACCUUCAGGAAAUAAAACUGAGCCAUUUCAGGUUAGCAGCCAGAACUUUUUAUUUUGUGCAUUCAGUGGACAAAAAUAUUUAUUCAGCUCAUGUAUGUAUCUCAUAUUUCCAUUUUAUCCACAAUUUUUAUUGUUUUCAAAUGCAAACCAGGGUGUUAUCUAUCGAGUGGUGAGGAGCACAACUGUG
rnacentral:misc_RNA from 1 species